UGAGGAAUAUUGGGCAAUGGACGAGAGUCUGACCCAGCCAUGUCGCGUGCAGGAAGACGGCUUUAUGAGUUGUAAACUGCUUUUAUAUAGGAAGAAACCCUUCGACGUGUUGGAGCUGACGGUACUAUAUGAA
rnacentral:rRNA from 1 species